rnacentral:rRNA from 1 species
AUGAAGACCUUCAUCAUAUUUGUCCUCCUUGCCAUGGCGAUGAACAUCGCCAGUGCCAGUAGGCUGCUAAGCCCUAGAGGCAAGGAAUUGCAUACUCCACAAGAACAAUUCCCCCAACAACAACAAUUCCCCCAACCACAACAAUUCCCCCAACAACAACAAUUAACGCAACAACAAUUCCCCCGGCCACAACAAUCCCCUGAACAACAAUAAUUCCCCCAACAACAAUUCCCCCAGCAACCACCACAACAAUUCCCCCAACAACAAUUUCCAAUACCAUACCCACCCCAGCAAUCACAAGAACCUUCCCCAUACCAACAAUAUCCACAACAAGAACCAUCUGGGAGCGACGUUAUAAGUAUCAGUGGCCUAUGA